AAAACCCUAGAACCAACGAUGUGGUACAAAGUGAGAUUUUUCAUAAAACAACUUGAAAAAUGAAUUCUACGGUCUAGAUUGACCCUUGCUAAUAACGAAUGGCUCGAUUUGAGCCUGGUCUCUCUCGGUCCAGUUACGUUGCCAUUUUUGACAUGAAAGAGAAGAGAAAAGUGAGGCGGCAGCUUAGGGUUUAGGGGUAAAGGGGAGAGGGG